CUCCGCUGGUCUUCCCUCUCUCCCAUCUCUCAGAAGCAGAGGGGUUUGUCAGGAAGUGUGUGAUACCCACUGAGCACUGCUGCUAAGAUGAAUAGGGAACUCUUAGUCCCUAGACCAAGAGCAGAAGAUGAAAGAUGAGCACAACGAAAUAGUUUUACUGUGGGAAAUUACCAGAGUUUAAAUGUGCACCCCACAUAUUUGGCAUUCAUCUCCUCCAGAAUUUUGCAUACAGUUUAGCAGAUGCGAGCCAGGAGAGUCAGUGACUGGGAAAGUAGUUGAGUGCUGACUCAUUAGAAGAAUUAACCCUACACAUCUUUCAGAAAUCACCAUCCUGCCAACUCCCAUGGGAAGCUGCCCAACAAGACCAUCACUCUCACUUACUGCCUACAGCUUCUCCCAAGAUUUCAACACCUUCUGUACAUUCAUGCUUGACCUAAAGUGCCCAGUAUGGAAAUGUUCCUCCAAUCUUGCCUUCCCUCCUCCUUCCUCACUUGGAAAAGACUGGUCAGCCAACAUUUUCUUCACAAAAGGAUGAAGAAAACCUGAGAGUCUGACUAAUUGCAAGAAGAGAGUCACACUAGAAGUAUUGCUGAGAACAAGACAUCUGAGGUUUUAGAUAUUAAACGUGGGUGACUGAGAAAAUGGGACUUAACUGGUAAAGGAAACUGGUAGUUAGAGGUCAUUGAUAAAUGGGAGUGGGGGGCAAAGGGAAUAGUUCACACAUUGUCUGUCAUUGGUACAUAAAACAUUUCUAUUUGACAGUUUUCCCAUGUUCAACCAUAAAGUGACAAUUGGUUUAGAGACACUGUAACUUUAAUCUCAGUAGAGACCAUGAAUUCAGACUAAUCUGAAAUCUUA